rnacentral:rRNA from 1 species
AGCUCCAAUAGCGUAUAUUAAAGUUGUUGCAGUUAAAAAGCUCGUAGUUGAAUUUGUGGUGGUUGUUUGCCCCCCUUCACUCUGUGUUGGGUAGAGUAAGCAACCCCAUGCUUGGAGUGGAAGCUGUGUGGCAUUAAGUUGUCGUGCAGUGAAAGCCCAUCGUUUACUGUGAAAAAAUUAGAGUGUUCAAAGCAGGCAGUGGCUCAUGAAUAUAUUAGCAUGGAAUAAUGAGAUAGGACUUCGGUACUAUUUUGUUGGUUUGCACGUUGUGGUAAUGAUUAACAGGAACGGUUGGGGGUAUUCGUAUUCAAUUGUCAGAGGUGAAAUUCUUGGAUUUGUGGAAGACGAACUACUGCGAAAGCAUUUACCAAGGAUGUUUUCAUUAAUCAAGAACGAAAGU